rnacentral:rRNA from 1 species
GGGUGCGAUCAUACCAGCGUUAACGUACCGGAUCCCAUCAGAACUCCGCAGUUACGCCCGCUUGGGCUGGAGUAGUACUGGGAUGGGUGACCUCCCGGGAAGUCCUAGUGUUGCACCCUC